CCCGAGCCAUGUGUAUUGGAGCGACAGAGGUGAAAUUUUUAGAUCGAUGUGGGACAAGCGGAAGCGAAGGCGCUCUGCUGGACCGCAUCCGCCGAUCAAGAACGAGAGUGUGGGGAUCGAAGAUGAUCAGAUACCGUCGUAGUCCACUUACCGUAAACCGUGCCUGCUCGGUCUCAGCGGGGGUGCUCCCUUUGACUCCACAUCCGUGGGGUUCUCUGGGAACCAACCCCGUUGGUGCCACUCCCCCAUUCAACGAGAAAUCCAGAGCCUCUGGGUUCAGGGGGGAGUACCGUCGCAAGGCUGAAACUUAAAGGAAUUGACGGAAUGACACCACAAGACGUGGAGUAUGCGGCUUAAUUUGACCCAACACGGGAAACGUUACCAGGUCAGGACAUUACAAGGAUUGACAGAUUGCGAGCUCUUUCUUGAUUUAUUGAACGGUGGUGCAUGGCCGUUCCUGGUUGGUGGAGUGAUUUGUCUGGUUGAUUCCGAUAACGAGCGAGAUCUCUGCUUCACAAUAGUCGCCGGCCUCAUCCGGGUACGCCUCCGGGCUGCCCAAUUUGUAGGAGAAUACGUUCUGCAGGAAGGGCGAGCGGCCCCCCCUCGGGGGGGUCCUCCUCGCUCUCUCCUCAGUCCAUAAACUCUGAGAGUGUCGGUUCUCUUCCUGUCAGCUGCAGGAUGAGUCUCCACUCAGCCCCCGGGCUUGAGUGGUACGUGCUUCUUUGCGGGGCCGCAUACGGUUACUUGCCCCCAAAGUAUGCGCAUGCCCGAGCCAACAGCAGGUCUGUGAUGCCCCCAAAUGUUCUGGGCCGCACGCGCACUACAAUGUUAUGGAGAAAAAGCUACUGUCUCACGUUUCGCCCCACCUCCGGGUGGGGCUUGCGUGCAGAUCCUUCCCAGAAACGGGGACACUGGGAAACCUUUUGGAAACCGCACCGUGACCGGGAUAGAUGAUUGGAACUAUUUGCCUUGCAACGAGGAAUGCCUAGUAUGCGCACGUCAUCAGCGUGCACCGAUUGCGUCCCUGCCAUUUGUACACACCGCCCGUCGUUGCUACCGAUGGUGUCAUAACAGAAGCCUCAGGAGGAGAGCAUCCCCCCUCGUGGGGGGUGCUUCUUCGAAUCUGGCUAAUGUUCUGUUGCUAGAGGAAGCAAAAGUCGUAACAAGGUUGCUGUAGGUGAACCUGCAGCAGGAUCAA
rnacentral:rRNA from 1 species